CUGGGUGGUAUGACCAAUCAGUAGAUUCCACAGUCCUCUGUGAUUGCUGCCCCUUGCUGAGAAUUAGGUCUCUUAGUUUCUCUCAUCUGAUAUUCAGGAUUCAUUGUCAGUGGUUCAGAAUCUAUUGAGUCCUCACAUGUGGUCCUGAAAGCAGAGGAAAAAGAAUCCAUGGAAGAUAUGUCAAUUUCAGUCAAGACAAACUGCUUUCAGGAUUGGAAGAGUUGAAGAGUCAACUUCCCCCAAAUUGCCCUCAAGAGCUGCUGCUGCUGCUGCUGCUAUGAGAACUUAUCUAAAUGAGAAAAGGAAAACU
rnacentral:lncRNA from 1 species